rnacentral:rRNA from 1 species
GAUGAACGCUGGCGGCGUGCCUAAUACAUGCAAGUCGAGCGAACGGACGAGAAGCUUGAUUCUUUGAUGUUAGCGGCGGACGGGUGAGUAACACGUGGAUAACCUACCUAUAAGACUGGGAUAACUUCGGGAAACCGGAGCUAAUACCGGAUGAUAUUUUGAACCGCAUGGUUCAAAAGUGAAAGACGGUCUUGCUGUCACUUAUAGAUGGAUCCGCGCUGCAUUAGCUAGUUGGUAAGGUAACGGCUUACCAAGGCAACGAUGCAUAGCCGACCUGAGAGGGUGAUAGGCCACACUGGAACUGAGACACGGUCCAGACUCCUACGGGAGGCAGCAGUAGGGAAUCUUCCGCAAAGGGCGAAAGCCUGACGGAGCAACGCCGCGUGAGUGAUGAAGGUCUUCGGAUCGUAAAACUCUGUUAUUAGGGAAGAACAUAUGUGUAAGUAACUGUGCACAUCUUGACGGUACCUAAUCAGAAAGCCACGGCUAACUACGUG